rnacentral:lncRNA from 1 species
GAGCAGUGCACCAUCUAAACACUAGUUUUCACUUUUUCCUUGGCAUCUCUUCAUAUUUUAGCCCUAACCGUGAAGAUAAGGAUAAACACACGCAGGAAAAAGAGCCACAUGAAAUGGAACAUCAAAAAUCAGAACAGAAUCCACAUUCAAAGAAUCCUUUCAAGGCAGAUGUUUAUGAGGUAACGCUGGAAGAUUCCGAGGUUCCCGGUGUACACAGAGAUAGGCGGAGCAUGGCAGCUGCACCACAGGAAACCAUAGCUGAGGACAUGGAAGCGAAGGCUUGUCCAGAGGACAUGAACCUGGCCAGGCCCCCCCAAGACCAGGGUAAGUAUGUGUCUUCCUGGCCCUCUUGGUCAUUGUCAUCUCCGAGAUUUUGUUUGCAAAUACUUACUGAACAUCUGUGGUGCACAAACUAACUAGCCCUGCUGGGUAACUUCAGUGGCAGAAGACUCGCAGUC